AAAAGCAUAAAAAAAUUACAUUUUUGUAGUAUAAUAUUCAUUUACAAUUGUCAUUAUGUGGAUUCUCUAUGUUGUUUGACUGCAGCGACUCUCUGGCGUGCAAGGGAUUAUGGGAUACGUCAGUAGGGCGAAUAUCCAGUUCUUAUAAUACAUAGAUGUUUUAGACAUAUGAUCUGUGGUAUUUUACACUUUGAUAUUCUUUGUCUUCCUGUUAAAUGCACAGUUUUCUCAAAUUUGCUGAUUUAUAGAAAAGAAACAGUCUAGAAAUUCAGGAAGUUGUUGCCUCAUUGACUCUGAUUGUUUGCGUAAUGUCUCACUUUGCAAUAUUUUGUCUAAAUGAUCACCCAGGCUACACAUGCUGUACACAAAUGUCAGUGUUAACACUGCAGCAAGUGGAUAGAGUCCCCUUUCACAACAGUGAUAAUUCAGGUGAAUUUGAGUUCAACAUUACAAGAGCGAAUUUCUACCAUGAGAGAGUUAAAUGAUUAGGUCCAUAUGCAUGUGCUGCAGUGUUAAUUUGACACUGCACAAUACAGUAGUUGGUAAAAGUGUUAAUUCUGUCCCUCUGAGUCAGACAGUUAAAGCUUUUACGGUUAAAUAUGAGCAUGCAUUCUGUUGUUGAAAUAUAAUGUCCAUUUUUAUUUAGAUGCAAAAAAAUCUCCCCUUUAUACCCAUGAGUAGCCACUUGUGUUUAUUGCCAAUUAAACAUAGACUAACUGCACAUAUCAUGACUACAGUCAAGGCCUUUGCAGAUGACACUGAGAUAUUUUUACUUACUUUACACUAUCAUGUGCUUUUGCCUGCAACAGUUUUUUUCUUUUGGUACAAUUUCUCUGAAAAUGUAAGCCAUGCAGUGUGUGUGAGACUUUUUAAAGACGCACAUGAUCAAAAUAUACGUACAGUUUGAAAAAAAAGUUCAAAUCCAAUUUUUCUCCAAAUCCACACAUUUCAUGUUACCACUGUUAAAAUGCUUACUUUACCUGGUUAUAAUACUUAAAAUAUUUAUUUCAGAUUUUAUUCAUAUUUUAUCACAUUAUGAUGGACAUCUGAAUAUUGCACCAUAUAAUUAGCAGAAAUUGUCAGUGCUUAGACUUUCAAAGUUUUUACCAACGGUGUAUGCAAGUGACAUGGAUAGCCUUGUCUGCAGAUGUUUCUUCCAGACGUUAUCAGCUGUUCUUCCUGCUGACUAAAGCCUUGCUUGUAGUUAAGCCAAAAGGUUUCAGUAUUGUUCUCCAGCCAAGAUGAUCUGGCAUAAGAGUUAAAAAAACCACAAGUCUUUUCAGGUCAUUUGCUGGACUACCAACAUUUUUUAUACUUGUCUUGUAUGUGUAUCUGAUAAUUCUAAGUGCCUCUUGUAUUUUUUAUGUUUAACUGUAUGUCAUAAGGAGCUUCUGUACAUCUUGAUUUGUGUACAUUUUAAUAUGCACGUUAUUUGUAUUAGUUAUCUUGAGUAUGAUUAUCAAUCUCGAUAAUGACAUCCAUGAGACAUUUACUGUAAUUGUUAUGGAGAAUAGGUUAUAUAAUACUUGAAACUUUGUUUAUAUCUCCUUUAAUCAAUAAAAUGUUGUCAGAUGAUUAUUUUAGCAGCUGCCUUUUGAACAUGCCACUGUUUGCCAGCAUUCAUGCUACAGUUAAUAACUGGGCGACAACAGCUGGACCUUUGCACCCUCAUGCCCUCAAAUGUGAAAAUUGCCACAGUACAUUCAAAUAAAAAUAUAUAUAGAUAUGCAUUAAAAA